UACGUAGGUGGCAAGCGUUGUUCGGAAUUAUUGGGCGUAAAGGGUGCGUAGGCGGCUUAGUAAGUCCGUGGUGAAAGCCCACCGCUCAACGGUGGAACUGCCAUGGAUACUGCUAGGCUUGAGUACAGACGAGGUAGGCGGAAUGGAUCGUGUAGAGGUGAAAUGCAUAGAUACGAUCCAGAACACCAAUUGCGUAGGCAGCUUACUAGGCUGUAACUGACGCUGAGGCACGAAAGCGUGGGGAGCGAACAGG
rnacentral:rRNA from 1 species